CGUUCAAAUUCAUCAAGAUCUGAUGGCCUGGCUUAUGAACUUCAAUUCUCUGGCAUCUGUCUGAAGAACUUCAUACCUAAUUCCCUCCUCUCAAGGUCACAUCAAAGACAUUUUUAACUAAAGGGUCAUCUCUUCCUGUUCCUGCUUGCCCAGCUACAUGAGUUCUCCUGGUCUCCAGAGACAUGUCUUUUUCCAGGACUCUUUGCUUCUUGCUGUGAAUCCCACCUGUGGCUCUGAGCAGUGCCCCAACUACCAGAAAACUGGCCAGACCCACAGACUGCCGCAACUGGUACAGACACCCAAGGAGAUGGGAGCAUGACUGUCCCCAUUCUUUUUCUCCUUCAGAGAGAAACCAGUAUCAUGUCACUUCACAUCUUCCUUUAUGGUUCUGGAGAGACACAAAUGCUGGUGCAGAGAUAGAGCAGUUCUGAGAGGGAAGAAUCACAGCCACAAGGAAGACACUGAUGUUGCCUUUACCUCUCCGAUGUUAAGCAGAUCUUGUCAUAUACAUUCUAGCUUGUUGAAGUUUAUCCUUGCUAUCAUGUUUAUAAGGUUUGUGAUUCUGGAGCUAACAUACACCUACAUAUACACUCGUGUCCACCACUGACUUCAUUGGUAGUUACAUUUGGUCCAGGCUGUUUACAGAUUAGGGGCAAACUCCUGCCCUGGGAGGAUAUUGCCAUCACCUUCAAUGGAACUUCACCACAGAUACGUGACCAUCAAAAAUACAUUGAAAGCCCCGAGAACCUUGUUAAAAGUCCUAAAAUACCAUUAUGUUUGUCAAAUACAGUCAGGUCUGGUUAAUCACACCCUGUUUGCAAACAUCCAAUUUUAUCAGUUUUAAAAAAUAUAUGUCAAAUCUUGUUCACAUGUCCUAUUAAACUAGUUUCUGCUUUAAUCUGUGGGAUGCUUAGACAAUGCCAAUAAACCAAGAGUGAUUUAAUCAGCUCUGACUGUUCUGAUCCAACAAGCACAUGCACUUGCAGGCUGAUUAUUCUGCUAUCCAUAGCAUAUUCACGGAUCUUACAAGAUAUUUAGCUUUCCCUCUAUAUUUGCCAGAGGUUUCCAUUACAAUUAUAGGACCCGCUCCCUGACAGGUAUAGAAAAAUAAUAUUAGUCUUUGUAUAUGUUUUUAAAACUAAUAUAACUAAAUCAAAUUAGGAUCUAUAUUAA